CCGAAUCAACUAGCCCCGAAAA
rnacentral:sRNA from 1 species